AUAGAGCACUACUAAGUAUAAAGGUGCGAACCAAAUAUAUAAAUUUGUACAAUGAUCUGAAGGGUGGAACAUCUUGCUAUAAUCCAAAGAUUAGUACAUUUGCGGCCAAACCCAGGUUGACCAUGAUACAUUGGACUUAUCUUUGUGAACGUCCCUUUCUUUUUUAAGCCAGCCAAUACAAAGAGGUUGGCUUUCCUUUAUUGCCAU
rnacentral:lncRNA from 1 species